UACGGAGGAUGCAAGCGUUAUCCGGAAUUAUUGGGCGUAAAGCGUCCGCAGGUGGUUUAUCAAGUCUGCUGUCAAAGCGCGAGGCUUAACUUCGUACAGGCAGUGGAAACUGGGUGACUGGAGUAUGGUAGGGGUAGCGGGAAUUCCCAGUGUAGCGGUGAAAUGCGUAGAUAUUGGGAAGAACACCAGCGGCGAAAGCGCGCUACUGGGCCAUUACUGACACUCAUGGACGAAAGCUAGGGGAGCGAAAGGG
rnacentral:rRNA from 1 species